AUUAAGUUCUCCGCCUGGGAAGUACGGUCGCAAGACUAAAACUCAANGGAAUUGACGGNGGCCCGCACAAGCGGUGGAGCAUGUGGUUUAUUUCGACGCAACGCGCAGAACCUUACCUGGUCUUGACAUCUACGGAACCUUCGNGAAAGCGAGGGGUGNCUUUCGGGGAGCCGCAAGACAGGUGCUGCAUGGCUGUCGUCAGCUCGUNUUGUGAGAUGUUGGCUUAAGUCCCGUNACGAGCGCAAACCC
rnacentral:rRNA from 1 species